rnacentral:rRNA from 1 species
CCUACGGGUGGCAGCAGUGGGGAAUAUUGGGCAAUGGGCGCAAGCCUGACCCAGCAACGCCGCGUGAAGGAAGAAGGCUCUCGGGUUGUAAACUUCUUUUGUCAGGGAAGAAGCAAGUGACGGUACCUGACGAAUAAGCAACGGCUAACUACGUGCCAGCAGCCGCGGUAAUACGUAGGUGGCAAGCGUUAUCCGGAUUUACUGGGUGUAAAGGGCGUGUAGGCGGGGAAGCAAGUCAGAUGUGAAAACAACGGGCUCAACCCGUGGACUGCAUUUGAAACUGUUUUUCUUGAGUGCUGGAGAGGCAAGGCGAAUUCCGGGGGUAGCGGUGGAAUGCGUAGGUAUAC